rnacentral:rRNA from 1 species
UACGUAGGGGCCUAGCGUUGUCCGGAAUUAUUGGGCGUAAAGAGCUCGUAGGCGGUUUCGGCAAGUCGGAUGUGAAAUCUCCACGCUUAACGUGGAGGGGCCAUUCGAAACUGCUGUGACUCGAGUCCGGUAGGGGAGUGUGGAAUUCCCGGUGUAGUGGUGAAAUGCGUAGAUAUCGGGAGGAACACCAGUGGCGGAAGGCGACUUCCUGGCCUGUUCUUGACGCUGAGGCGGCGAAAGCUAGGGGAGCAAACGGGG